GUGCCAUCAGCCGCGGUAAUACGUAUGUGGCGAGCGUUGUCCGGAUUUAUUGCGCAUACAGGGAGCGCAGGUGGUUUCUUAAGUCUGAUGUGAAAGCUCACGGCUUAACCGUGGAGGGUCAUUGGAAACUGGGAAACUUGAGUACAGAAUACGAAUGUGGAACUCCAUGUGUAGCGGUGGAAUGCGUAGAUAUAUGGAAGAACACCAGUGGCGAAGGCGACUUUCUGGUCUGUUACUGACACUGAGGCUCGAAAGCGUGGGGAGCAAACAGGAUUAGAUACCCUGGUAGUCC
rnacentral:rRNA from 1 species